rnacentral:rRNA from 1 species
AGCAGCCGCGGUAAUUCCAGCUCCAAUAGCGUAUAUUAAAGUUGUUGCAGUUAAAAAGCUCGUAGUUGAACUUCGGGGUUUACCCAUUGGUCAGGCUUAAUUGUCUGUACUGGUGAGAUAAAUCUCUACCUUCUGAGGAACUUUCAUGCCAUUUAUUUGGUGUGAUUGGAAAUCAGGACUAUUACUUUGAAAAAAUUAGAGUGUUUAAAGCAGGCUAACGUCUGAAUAUAUUAGCAUGGAAUAAUGAAAUAGGACGGCUUGGUUCUAUUUCGUUGGUUUCUAGGAUCACCGUAAUGAUUAAUAGGGAUAGUUGGGGGCAUUAGUAUUCAAUUGUCAGAGGUGAAAUUCUUGGAUUUUAUUGAAGACUAACUACUGCGAAAGUAUUUGCCAAGGAUGUUUUCAUUAAUCAAGAACGAAAGUUAGGGGAUCGAAGACGAUCAGAUACCGUCGUAGUCUUAACCAUAAACUAUGCCGACUAGGGAUCGGACGAAGUUAAUUUUAUAAUGACGCGUUCGGCACC